AGCGGCGAGUGAAGCGGCAAAAGCUCAAAUUUGAAAUCUGGCGCCUUCGGUGUCCGAGUUGUAAUUUGAAGAUUGUAACCUUGGGGUUGGCUCUUGUCUAUGUUUCUUGGAACAGGACGUCACAGAGGGUGAGAAUCCCGUGCGAUGAGAUGCCCAAUCCUAUGUAAGGUGCUUUCGAAGAGUCGAGUUGUUUGGGAAUGCAGCUCUAAGUGGGUGGUAAAUUCCAUCUAAAGCUAAAUAUUGGCGAGAGACCGAUAGCGAACAAGUACAGUGAUGGAAAGAUGAAAAGAACUUUGAAAAGAGAGUGAAAAAGUACGUGAAAUUGUUGAAAGGGAAGGGUUUGAGAUCAGACUCGAUAUUUUGUGAGCCUUGCCUUCGUGGCGGGGUGACCCGCAGCUUAUCGGGCCAGCAUCGGUUUGGGCGGUAGGAUAAUGGCGUAGGAAUGUGACUUUACUUCGGUGAAGUGUUAUAGCCUGCGUUGAUGCUGCCUGCCUAGACCGAGGACUGCGAUUUUAUCAAGGAUGCUGGCAUAAUGAUCCCAAACCGCCCGUCUUGAACCACGG
rnacentral:rRNA from 1 species